rnacentral:rRNA from 1 species
GAUGAACGCUAGCGGGAGGCCUAACACAUGCAAGCCGAGCGGUAGAGUCUCUUCGGAGACUUGAGAGCGGCGCACGGGUGCGGAACACGUGUGCAACCUGCCUUUAUCUGGGGGAUAGCCUUUCGAAAGGAAGAUUAAUACCCCAUAAUAUACUGGAUGGCAUCAUCUGGUAUUGAAAACUCCGGUGGAUAGAGAUGGGCACGCGCAAGAUUAGAUAGUUGGUGAGGUAACGGCUCACCAAGUCAGCGAUCUUUAGGGGGCCUGAGAGGGUGAUCCCCCACACUGGUACUGGGACACGGACCAGACUCCUACGGGAGGCAGCAGUGAGGAAUGUUGGACAGUGGGUGAGAGCCUGAUCCAGCCAUCCCGCGUGAAGGACGACGGCCCUAUGGGUUGUAAACUUCUUUUGUAUAGGGAUAAACCUAGAUACGUGUAUCUAGCUGAAGGUACUAUACGAAUAAGCACCGGCUAACUCCGUG